AGCAUAUCAAUAAGCGGAGGAAAAGAAAAUAACAAUGAUUUCCCUAGUAACGGCGAGUGAAGAGGAAAGAGCUCAAAGUUGGAACCUGUUUGGCCUAGCUAAACCGGAUUGUAGACUGUAGAAGUGUUUUCCAGGCAAGCCGAGUAAAUAAGUCCUUUGGAACAGGGCAUCAUAGAGGGUGAGAAUCCCGUCUUUGGCUUGAGCAUUUGCCUUUUGUGAUACGCUUUCAAAGAGUCAGGUUGUUUGGGAAUGCAGCCUAAAUUGGGUGGUAAAUCUCACCUAAAGCUAAAUAUUGGCGAGAAACCGAUAGCGAACAAGUACCGUGAGGGAAAGAUGAAAAGAACUUUGAAAAGAGAGUUAAACAGUAUGUGAAAUUGUUAAAAGGGAACCGUUUGGAGCCAGACUGGCUUGUCUGUAAUCAAUCUAGGCUUCGGCCUGGAUGCACUUGCAGGCUAUGCCUGCCAACGACAAUUUGACUUGAGGGAAAAAACUAGGGGAAAUGUGGCCCACUUGUGGGUGUUAUAGUCCCUUAGAAAAUACCUUGGGUUGGAUUGAGGAACGCAGCGAAUGCUUAUUGGCGAGUUUUCCAGGAAGGUUUUCUGAGGUACUACGGUAUCAAGGUUGAUCUUUUUGGUUAUACUUCUAUUCGCUUAGGUUGUUGGCUUAAUGACUCUAAAUGACCCGUCUUGAAACACGGACCAAGGAGUCCACCAUUAGUGCGAGUAUUUGGGUGCCAAACCCAUAUGCGUAAGGAAACUGAUUGAUACGAAUCCAUUAAGGAGGCAGUAUCGUCCGGCGCUGACGUUUUAUACUGAAUUGACCGAGACAAAGCACUAAUGAUGGGACCCGAAAGAUGGUGAACUAUGCCUGAAUAGGGUGAAGCCAGAGGAAACUCUGGUGGAGGCUCGUAGCGAUUCUGACGUGCAAAUCGAUCGUCAAAUUUGGGUAUAGGGGCGAAGACUAAUCGAACCAUCUAGUAGC
rnacentral:rRNA from 1 species